CUACGGGACGCUCCAGUGAGGAAUAUUGCACAAUGGGGGGAACCCUGAUGCAGCAACGCCGCGUGGAGGAUGACGCAUUUCGGUGUGUAAACUCCUUUUAUAUGUCAAGAGAAUGACGGUAGCAUAUGAAUAAGCACCGGCUAACUCCGUGCCAGCAGCCGCGGUAAUACGGAGGGUGCAAGCGUUACUCGGAAUCACUGGGCGUAAAGGACGCGUAGGCGGGUUGGAAAGUCAGGUGUGAAAUCCUACAGCUUAACUGUAGAACUGCACUUGAAACUUCUAAUCUAGAGUAUGGGAGGGGGAGGUGGAAUUAGUGGUGUAGGGGUAAAAUCCGUAGAUAUCACUAGGAAUACCUAAAGCGAAGGCGAUCUCCUGGAACAUUACUGACGCUAAGGCGUGAAAGCGUGGGGAGCAAACAGGAUUAGAUACCCCGGUAGUC
rnacentral:rRNA from 1 species